GAGUAAAGAAAAAAGAACUCAAGUCCUUGGUGAUGCCAAUGAACUGCUGAAAUAGCCAGUCCUAAAACCCUGACCUCAGCCCUCUUGUUUUGAUUCAGAAAUGUAUUUUUACCUUUUAAUAGUUCCAAAUGCAGGCUAUGUCUUACGAGCAAUGACAUCUCAGUUUCUGUCAAAUACAAAAGCAUGUAAGAAUAAUUCCCUGGAAGAAUGCAUCAUGAAAAUCCCAGACAGUGGUUUGACUGCGAGUUACAGUUCUGUUAUAGUGUGGAUGUUGAAUGUCCUCCAAAGACCUGUAUGUUAAAAGUUUAGGAGCUAAGCAGUUGGCACCACCUCCCAUCCACCAUGAUGUGCUGCCUUACUAGAGGCCCAAAGCAAAGGCCCAAGUGCCUUUAAUCUCGGACUGGACUCUCCAGAACUGUGAGCCAAAAUAAAAC